rnacentral:tRNA from 1 species
GGCGGAUGUACCAAGUGGAUCAAGGCAGUGGAUUUGUGAA